GAUGAACGCUGGCGGCGUGCCUAAUACAUGCAAGUCGAGCGAACAGACGAGGAGCUUGCUCCUCUGACGUUAGCGGCGGACGAGUGAGUAACACGUGGAUAACCUACCUAUAAGACUGGGAUAACUUCGGGAAACCGGAGCUAAUACCGGAUAAUAUAUUGAACCGCAUGGUUCAAUAGUGAAAGACGGUUUUGCUGUCACUUAUAGAUGGAUCCGCGCCGCAUUAGCUAGUUGGUAAGGUAACGGCUUACCAAGGCAACGAUGCGUAGCCGACCUGAGAGGGUGAUCGGCCACACUGGAACUGAGACACGGUCCAGACUCCUACGGGAGGCAGCAGUAGGGAAUCUUCCGCAAUGGGCGAAAGCCUGACGGAGCAACGCCGCGUGAGUGAUGAGGGUCUUCGGAUCGUAAAACUCUGUUAUUAGGGAAGAACAAAUGUGUAAGUAACUAUGCACGUCUUGACGGUACCUAAUCAGAAAGCCACGGCUAACUACGUG
rnacentral:rRNA from 1 species